rnacentral:rRNA from 1 species
AACGAACGCUGGCGGCAUGCCUAACACAUGCAAGUCGAACGAAACCUUCGUGUCUAUUGGCGCACGUCUGCGUACCGCCUGGUGACCUGCCUUUAGGUUCCGUAUCCCUCAGUGAAAUUUGACCUAAUACCGGAUGAUCUCUUCCGACCAAAGAUUUGGCGCUUGGUGGUGGGCCCGCGGCGGGUUCGCUUGUUGGGGGGGUAGUGGCCUACCAAGGCGUCGAUGGGUAGGUGGUCUGAGAGGAUGAACAGCCACAUUGGAAGUGAGAUACGGCACACACUGCUACGGGAGGCAGCAGUGGGGAAUAUUGCACAAUGGGCGGAAGUCUGAUGAAGCAACGCCGCGAGCGGGAUGACGGCCUUCGGGUUGUAAAACGCUUUCGCCUGUGACGAAGCGUGAGUGACGGUAAUGGGUAAAGAAGCACCGGCUAACUACGUG